rnacentral:tRNA from 1 species
CUAAGAGAAAGAUCAAUUAAGGCUAAUUCCAUUAACUCUUCCCUACUCUUUUCUUUUGGUAAAAGAGUUUUUAAAACCAAGAUUAUUUUUAUAGGCUUGAGAACAGUUUUUAUAUUUAUUUUUUUAGGAAUAUUAAAGAAUUUCGUUAAGCCUAAGCUUGAGUUUAGAUUGAUUGGGGGUUUAGCUCAGUUGGCUAGAGCAUCGGCUUUGCAAGCCGAGGGUCAAGGGUUCGAGUCCCUUAACCUCCAUUACGCAUAUAGAUUAAGCAUGUUGUUAAUAGUAAAUCAUAAUUUUAAAUUUUGAAGUGAAGGGCUUUUAUAUUGCUAGAUGUGCAUUUUAAAUCUAAUAUAACGGCAAUUGGUCAUUUUAAAAUUGAGAUUAUAUUCUAAAUAUUACUUAAUAUUUACCAAAUGUUUUAUUGUUCUGAUUAAUUGGCCUAAAGGAAUGCCUAAGUGAUUAUAAUAAUGGAACACAUUGGGACCAGGAUGAGUUGAACAUC